rnacentral:rRNA from 1 species
GAUGAACGCUGGCGGCGUGCCUAAUACAUGCAAGUCGAGCGAACGGACGAGAAGCUUGCUUCUCUGAUGUUAGCGGCGGACGGGUGAGUAGCACGUGGAUAACCUACCUAUAAGACUGGGAUAACUUCGGGAAACCGGAGCUAAUACCGGAUAAUAUUUUGAACCGCAUGGUUCAAAAGUGAAAGACGGUCUUGCUGUCACUUAUAGAUGGAUCCGCGCUGCAUUAGCUAGUUGGUAAGGUAACGGCUUACCAAGGCAACGAUGCAUAGCCGACCUGAGAGGGUGAUCGGCCACACUGGAACUGAGACACGGUCCAGACUCCUACGGGAGGCAGCAGUAGGGAAUCUUCCGCAAUGGGCGAAAGCCUGACGGAGCAACGCCGCGUGAGUGAUGAGGGUCUUCGGAUCGUAAAACUCUGUUAUUAGGGAAGAACAUAUGUGUAAGUAACUGUGCACAUCUUGACGGUACCUAAUCAGAAAGCCACGGCUAACUACGUGCCAGCAGCCGCGGUAAUACGUAGGUGGCAAGCGUUAUCCGGAAUUAUUGGGCGUAAAGCGCGCGUAGGCGGUUUUUUAAGUCUGAUGUGAAAGCCCACGGCUCAACCGUGGAGGGUCAUUGGAAACUGGAAAACUUGAGUGCAGAAGAGGAAAGUGGAAUUCCAUGUGUAGCGGUGAAAUGCGCAGAGAUAUGGAGGAACACCAGUGGCGAAGGCGACUUUCUGGUCUGUAACUGACGCUGAUGUGCGAAAGCGUGGGGAUCAAACAGGAUUAGAUACCCUGGUAGUCCACGCCGUAAACGAUGAGUGCUAAGUGUUAGGGGGUUUCCGCCCCUUAGUGCUGCAGCUAACGCAUUAAGCACUCCGCCUGGGGAGUACGACCGCAAGGUUGAAACUCAAAGGAAUUGACGGGGACCCGCACAAGCGGUGGAGCAUGUGGUUUAAUUCGAAGCAACGCGAAGAACCUUACCAAAUCUUGACAUCCUUUGACAACUCUAGAGAUAGAGCCUUCCCCUUCGGGGGACAAAGUGACAGGUGGUGCAUGGUUGUCGUCAGCUCGUGUCGUGAGAUGUUGGGUUAAGUCCCGCAACGAGCGCAACCCUUAAGCUUAGUUGCCAUCAUUAAGUUGGGCACUCUAAGUUGACUGCCGGUGACAAACCGGAGGAAGGUGGGGAUGACGUCAAAUCAUCAUGCCCCUUAUGAUUUGGGCUACACACGUGCUACAAUGGACAAUACAAAGGGCAGCGAAACCGCGAGGUCAAGCAAAUCCCAUAAAGUUGUUCUCAGUUCGGAUUGUAGUCUGCAACUCGACUACAUGAAGCUGGAAUCGCUAGUAAUCGUAGAUCAGCAUGCUACGGUGAAUACGUUCCCGGGUCU